GUGAUGCCAUGGCUGUAGAUAGGGAUGCUGAGGUCUUCCUUUCCUGACACCCUUUAGAGAGGCUGUGAUGGGGCUGUAACUUCUAUCGGUGGUGUUGGAUUGGGGACCCAGCCCUUGUUAAUAUAGGUGAGAGGGGUGAGGAGUUUUAAACCCAUCAAAACUCCUCUCGCCAGGGCUCCACACGAAUUAGUAAUCCUAGUUCAUCUAAAUCAUUGUGUGUGUAUCACACACAUGUAGCACUCCACCCCUUACACGAAUUUCUGAAUGUAUUGCAACUUAGUGGGGCCCACUGGUAUACCCGAUCACAUUAUCCAACCCUUAGGACAAUCUAGACCAUUGAUCAAUAAGGCCCACCUUAUAGAAUUCUUACAGGCCACACCAUGUAAAUUUAGAGUUUCUAGCUAUAAUUUCAUAGAGUGACCCACCUGAGAAUUGAUUCAGCCUAAUUAUUUUUGUUUUUAAAAAGGCCAAAACAAGGUGCAAUUUACCUGAUGGAUUGCAUAGAUUUUGGGCACAUCAAGCCGUUUAUCCCCAUAUUAGUGAACGAAACCCUGUUAGGUGCCUACUGGAGAUGGCCCAGCAUUUUCUGACUCUCCCUUUUCAGAUCUCUCUCAUUCUUUCUCUUCAUGUGCAUACCACUGCCAUACGCCAUAGUUUAAUUUAUUUCACUGACAUAUCUAACAUGUUGAAUGUAAAUUGAUUUAAUUAGGUUUUGGUAAAAGAAAGUUUGAGAUAUCAGGGAAAACCAAAUUAUAAGAUUAAUAUCACAAGAUCUAUCAAAGAAGAAAUUUCAGAUGCUUCUGGUAUCAACACAAACGACUUCCAAUCAACUGGCCAGCUUGCAACAUCAUCAGCUAUCAUCGGGGAUAUCAAUGACCUUUCCUGGUGCUCAUCCAAACUGCAUGAUUCUUUGAUAUUAGCAGCUGAAGAUGGGACUGCUUUCCUCUGGAAUGUGAAUAAUUCUAACCCAACCAAAUGCUUCAACGCACAUAUAUCCCGCAUCACCUCCGUUGAUUUCAACCUCACAGAUGACACUUUCAUCACAGCGUCGUGAGACAAAACUGUUAGGUUGUGGAACAUCGA